rnacentral:rRNA from 1 species
UAAGACGAACCGUGCAAACGUUGUUCGGAAUCACUGGGCUUAAAGGGCGCGUAGGCGGGUUCCCAAGUCGGAGGUGAAAUCUUGCGGCCCAACCGUAAGAGGGCCUCCGAUACUGGGAGUCUCGAGGGAGGUAGGGGUCGGUGGAACUUCCGGUGGAGCGGUGAAAUGCGUAGAUAUCGGAAGGAACGCCGGUGGCGAAAGCGACCGACUGGACCUCUUCUGACGCUGAGGCGCGAAAGCCAGGGGAGCAAACGGGAUUAGAUACCCCGGUAGUCCUGGCCCUAAACGAUGGGCACCAGAUUGUGGGCCUGACAUGGGCUCACAGUCGAGGCAAAAGUGUUAAGUGCCCCGCCUGGGGAGUAUGGUCGCAAGGCUG